UAAAUAUGACAGCAGUACCGGAUUUCACAGCCGAGUCAGCGAAAGGCUACGAGAGGAAUGGAUUGGCCGUUGCUGGAGUUGCCUGUCCAUUACCUGUCCAUGGGUCCUGCCGAAUUUGAUUGAUGGAGGGACGAGGGGGUGGUGUUACUGUUGCAAAUGGAUUCGCUGAAAAUGUGAAUCCGGAGGUACUCGGCGACGACAUUGUCGUGGCUGGGGCCAGAGCCCAUGGAUCCACGGUACGAGGUGGUGAAGCUAUAGUGGCCGGCGAGGGGGCUGGAGCUCGCCAAGGAUCGACUGCUGCUGCUGCAAAGUCAUCAUCUGCUUUGAAUUAGUCCGUUAAAAGUAGACAGAAAACUGAAUUUAAUAGAAUUUAGGUGUUCCAACAAUUUUUUCUCAACUUUUAGGUUUAUGAAUUUACCUGACGAUCUUACGAAUACAUGCAGUAUACAAGAAGAAAAAAAAUUUAAUAACAAAGAUGUAUCUAAUUCUAUUUUUCAAUAAUUAAUUUCAGUAGUGAAGUAGUAAGAACCGAAUGCAUUAUGAGACUAGAACAAAUUCACAGAUUUCUUUGUCAUUUUCGAAAUACGUCCGGAAACUUGAAGAGGAUAAAAAGACGUAGAAAAGGAAUGUCCAAAACAAUUUCGAUAGAAAAUUGCACGAACUAAAGCUGAAUUCUGAAAAUAUUUCCGUAUUAUAUUGAAAAUUAAAAAAUUAUGAUGUUUUAUGGCAUAAAAUUGAAUAAGAUUUAUAUAAUA